UACGUAGGUGGCAAGCGUUGUCCGGAUUUAUUGGGUUUAAAGGGUGCGUAGGCGGUUUUGUAAGUCAGUGGUGAAAUACUCCAGCUUAACUGGAGGGGUGCCAAUGAUACUGCAGAACUUGAGUACAGAUGAGGUAGGCGGAAUUGACGGUGUAGCGGUGAAAUGCAUAGAUAUCGUCAAGAACACCGAUAGCGAAGGCAGCUUACUGGGCUGCAACUGACGCUGAGGCACGAAAGUGUGGGGAUCAAACAGG
rnacentral:rRNA from 1 species